UACAGGGUGCCACCAGACCCUUUGAAGGGUGCCAUGAGAUAAGAGGGAUGAGGAGAGAGGCAGAUUAAGCCCAGGCUCAGGCUUGUACUUGCCAGAGGAACCCCCACUCCUCUGCCUAGCUUUCUGGCAAAGAGCUUGUUGAAGAAGGCAGAAGGGGAAGACAGAAGUGGAAAUUAGUGGGUACAGAAGAAAAGGAGACAAUGUAUCAGUGGCUCAGUUCAUAUCAAAUGCAAAACAAUCUGCCCUUCAAUGGCA